rnacentral:rRNA from 1 species
CUGGAGUUGCUAGUAAUCGCGAAUCAGCAUGUCGCGGUGAAUACGUUCCCGGGCCUUGUACACACCGCCCGUCACACCAUGAGAGUUGGCAAUACCCAACGUACGUGAUCUAACCCGCAAGGGAGGAAGCGUCCUAAGGUAGGGUCAGCGAUUGGGGUGAAGUCGUAACAAGGUAUC